rnacentral:rRNA from 1 species
GACGAACGCUGGCGGCGUGCUUAACACAUGCAAGUCGAACGGAAAGGCCCUGCUUUUGUGGGGUGCUCGAGUGGCGAACGGGUAAGUAACACGUGAGUAACCUGCCCUUGACUUUGGGAUAACUUCAGGAAACUGGGGCUAAUACCGGAUAGGAGCUCCUGCUGCAUGGUGGGGGUUGGAAAGUUUCGGCGGUUGGGGAUGGACUCGCGGCUUAUCAGCUUGUUGGUGGGGUAGUGGCUUACCAAGGCUUUGACGGGUAGCCGGCCUGAGAGGGUGACCGGCCACAUUGGGACUGAGAUACGGCCCAGACUCCUACGGGAGGCAGCAGUGGGGAAUAUUGCACAAGGGGCGGAAGCCUGAUGCAGCAACGCCGCGUGCGGGAUGACGGCCUUCGGGUUGUAAACCGCUUUCGCCUGUGACGAAGCGUGAGUGACGGUAAUGGGUAAAGAAGCACCGGCUAACUACGUG